GGGAGUUGAAUUUAAAAAAUAUUUCAUUCACUUGAACAACUCUUUAGCAAUUCUUUUCUCUUCUCCUUCCUCUUUUUAUUCAUUUUUUUAAGGAUUAUGUAUUGACAUGUAUUGAAAUAUUACAAACAUAAUUCCUUUUUUUUCCCUCUUAUCCUUCUAGUUUUUCUUCCUCUUAUCCUUCUAUUUUUUCAUUCCUUUUUUUUUUCUUUUCUAUUUUCUUUUUCUAUUUUUUUUCUUCUUUUUCUGCCAACUUCUGAAAUAUUACAAACAUAGUUAUUCAACCCCACACAACUCCAAACAAGACUCUUUCAACCCUUUGAAUAGGGCGAUAACAUUGUUUUUCACUUCUC
rnacentral:lncRNA from 1 species